UGCGAUAGCUCAGUCAGUGGAGCUUGAGACUCUUCAUUUCAGGGUCCUGGGUUCAAGCCCCACGUUGAGCAA